rnacentral:rRNA from 1 species
UGAGUGCGAGCUGCUACGGCAGCGAAGUUGGUGACGUCAUGCUUCCAAGAAAAGCCCUAUACCCGUUAAGGCAUCAUAGCCUGUACCCGAAACCGACACAGGUGGGGUGGUAGAGAAUACCGAGGGGCGCGAGGUAACUCUCUCUAAGGAACUCGGCAAAAUGGCCCCGUAACUUCGGGAGAAGGGGUGCCACCGCAAGGUGGUCGCAGUGAAGAGGCCCAGGCGACUGUUUACCAAAAACACAGGUCUCCGCUAAGUCGCAAGACGAUGUAUGGGGGCUGACGCCUGCCCAGUGCCGGAAGGUUAAGGAAGCUGGUCAGCGCAAGCGAAGCUAGCGACUGAAGCCCCGGUGAACGGCGGCCGUAACAAUAACGGUCCUAAGGUAGCGAAAUUCCUUGUCGGGUAAGUUCCGACCCGCACGAAAGGCGUAACGAUCUGGGCGCUGUCUCGGAGAGAGGCUCGGCGAAAUAGAAUUGUCUGUGAAGAUGCGGACUACGUGCACCCGGACAGAAAGACCCUAUGAAGCUUUACUGUAGCUUGGUAUUGUGCCCGGGCUCGCAAUGCGCAGGAUAGGUGGGAGGCUUUGAUCAUCGGCUUGCGGGUCGAUGUGAGCCAACGGUGAGAUACCACUCUUUGCGAGCUAGGGUUCUAACGGCCACCCGUCAUCCGGGGGCCGGACAGUACCUGGUGGGCAGUUUGACUGGGGCGGUCGCCUCCUAAAAGGUAACGGAGGCGCGCAAAGGUUUGCUCAGGCUGGUUGGAAAUCAGCCGACGAGUGUAAAAGCAGAAGCAAGCUUGACUGUGAGACCAACAAGUCGAACAGGGAGGAAACUCGGCUUUAGUGAUCCGACGGUUCUGAGUGGAAGGGCCGUCGCUCAACGGAUAAAAGUUACUCUAAGGAUAACAGGCUGAUCUCCCCCAAGAGUUCACAUCGACGGGGAGGUUUGGCACCUCGAUGUCGGCUCAUCGCAACCUGGGGCUGAAGUCGGUCCCAAGGGUUGGGCUGUUCGCCCAUUAAAGCGGUACGCGAGCUGGGUUCAGAACGUCGUGAGACAGUUCGGUCCAUAUCCGGUGCACGCGCAGGAAUAUUGAGAGGAUUUCUCCCUAGUACGAGAGGACCGGGAGGAACGCACCUCUGGUGUACCAGUUAUCGUGCCAACGGUAAACGCUGGGUAGCCAUGUGCGGAGUGGAUAACCGCUGAAAGCAUCUAAGUGGGAAGCCCACCUCAAGAUGAGUAUUCCCAUGGCGUAAGCCAGUAAGGUCACGGGAAGAACACCCGUUGAUAGGCUCUAUGUGGAAGCGCAGUAAUGCGUGAAGCAGAGGAGUACUAAUAGACCGAGGGCUUGACC